rnacentral:rRNA from 1 species
UACAGAGGGUGCAAGCGUUGUUCGGAAUUAUUGGGCGUAAAGCGCGUGUAGGCGGCACUGUUAGUCAGGCGUGAAAGUCCUGGGCUCAACCUGGGAACUGCGCUUGAUACGGCAGAGCUAGAGGAUGGAAGAGGGUCGCGGAAUUCCCAGUGUAGAGGUGAAAUUCGUAGAUAUUGGGAAGAACACCGGUGGCGAAGGCGGCGACCUGGUCCAUUACUGACGCUGAGGCGCGACAGCGUGGGGAGCAAACAGG